rnacentral:lncRNA from 1 species
AGCGGCUCCGGGUACCUGCUGAGCGGGUGGCUGGCUGCGGCGCGGGGCGCGCAGCGCGACUCGGCGUUGGGGGGCUGGGCGCGCGCGUACGAGUGGUAGGCGGUCAGCACCACGCCGCCCGAGUCCUCCACCUCCAUCGUCAGCCGCGCAUGUCUCGGCGCCGGCCCCAGAACAAAGACCGGGACCAGCAUGGACCGGCGCGCCGGGAGGCUGUCAGCAGCUGGGCGGCGCGGCCCGAGCCCUCUUCCAACUGGAGGCUUAUCCUGUGGCUGGGAACAUUUCCUGCCUGGCUGCGAGGAGUGAGACUAAGAAACCAUACCUCAGGCUGAGGAGAGAGGCCGGGUUUGAUAUGUGUGCUCUAGGGAAGAAAAGGAGAAAAUGUGACACUCUCUCAUUUAAAGCAUCCACAUCAAAAAUUGAAGAACUGGAUUACAUUGCUGUUUACUUAGUCAAGUUACAAUAAACUUGAUUUCCUUUUGGGUCAGGUAAUCCCCUUUUACAGCAAGGGAACGCUUCCCUCCCACACCCUCAGUGCGCCACUACCAGACUCUUACCUCACUCUCACAUCCCUUUCCUCCUCCCAAUCAUGAUCACAUUAACAGAUACCGUUUGCAGCUUGUCUGAAAAUUAGACUUUAUUAUUAUAAGCCAAAUGGGUGUUAUUUCCAGAAGUUACUGUUGGUGGGGGACGAUGUAGGGACUGGUUCGAGGUAGAUAAAAAGGGGCAUCAUUAGAAAUCUUGAGUCUGAAGUAUGUCCUUAUCCACAUAGGACUAAUAGCACAAAUGGAAAAACAACAUUCUUAUAGCUGAUUAAAAAGUAACCAGAAGUAUGCCUAGGAAGAGGCCCACGUGAAUGUUUUACUCACACGGACAAUGUGUUUUAUCUGCUGUCUCUUCCGUGCAUCUCUAGGAGCUAGACGAAGUGGAAAGACAAGUUAACCUAUCCCUUACUGGAGGGCAACUUGAUCAUGCUACUUAACAUCUCAGAAUCUCUGUUGCUGCAUCUGUGAAAUGGGGAAAAUAACGUUCAUCUCGUGGGAUUAAAGCAACAAGUACAUAUUAGGUUUUCAAGAAAUGGGGGUACUCUUUGCUCUUUACAUUCAACAAGAAGGGACACAUUUAUUUUCAUUGCACUUUCAGAGGUUGGGAAAACAAGUUUUUCAUCCAAAAUGCUUUUUAAAAAUGUUUUAUUAAUUAAAGGGGUGAGAUAAUAAUGACUAAAUUUGCU